GUAAUAUAUCGGAACGUACCGAGUAAUGGGGGAUAACUAAUCGAAAGAUUAGCUAAUACCGCAUAUUCUCUGAGGAGGAAAGCAGGGGACCUUCGGGCCUUGCGUUAUUCGAGCGGCCGAUAUCUGAUUAGCUAGUUGGUGGGGUAAAGGCCUACCAAGGCGACGAUCAGUAGCGGGUCUGAGAGGAUGAUCCGCCACACUGGGACUGAGACACGGCCCAGACUCCUACGGGAGGCAGCAGUGGGGAAUUUUGGACAAUGGGCGCAAGCCUGAUCCAGCCAUGCCGCGUGUCUGAAGAAGGCCUUCGGGUUGUAAAGGACUUUUGUCAGGGAAGAAAAGGCUGUUGCUAAUAUCGACAGCUGAUGACGGUACCUGAAGAAUAAGCACCGGCUAACUACGUGCCAGCAGCCGCGGUAAUACGUAGGGUGCGAGCGUUAAUCGGAAUUACUGGGCGUAAAGCGAGCGCAGACGGUUACUUAAGCAGGAUGUGAAAUCCCCGGGCUCAACCUGGGAACUGCGUUCUGAACUGGGUGACUAGAGUGUGUCAGAGGGAGGUAGAAUUCCACGUGUAGCAGUGAAAUGCGUAGAGAUGUGGAGGAAUACCGAUGGCGAAGGCAGCCUCCUGGGAUAACACUGACGUUCAUGCUCGAAAGCGUGGGUAGCAAACAGGAUUAGAUACCCUGGUAGUCCACGCCCUAAACGAUGUCAAUUAGCUGUUGGGCAACUUGAUUGCUUAGUAGCGUAGCUAACGCGUGAAAUUGACCGCCUGGGGAGUACGGUCGCAAGAUUAAAACUCAAAGGAAUUG
rnacentral:rRNA from 1 species